rnacentral:tRNA from 1 species
GAGGGUACAGCUCAGUGGUAGAGCACAUGCCUAGCAUGCCUGAAGUCCUGGCUUCAACCCCCACUACCUCCA